rnacentral:rRNA from 1 species
UACGUAGGGCGCGAGCGUUGUCCGGAAUUAUUGGGCGUAAAGAGCUCGUAGGCGGUUUGUCGCGUCUGCUGUGAAAAUCCAGGGCCUAACCCUGGACCUGCAGUGGGUACGGGCAGACUAGAGUGCGGUAGGGGAGAUCGGAAUUCCUGGUGUAGCGGUGAAAUGCGCAGAUAUCAGGAGGAACACCGGUGGCGAAGGCGGAUCUCUGGGCCGUAACUGACGCUGAGGAGCGAAAGCAUGGGGAGCGAACAGG